GCCAGUGUGGCUCACUGGAUAGAGCGUAGGCCUAUGGACUGAAGAGUCCCAGGUUCGAUUCCUGUCAGGGGCA
rnacentral:tRNA from 1 species